UACGUAGGGGGCAAGCGUUGUCCGGAAUUAUUGGGCGUAAAGAGCGUGUAGGCGGUCCGGUAAGUCAGCUGUGAAAGUCAAGGGCUCAACCCUUGAAUGCCGGUUGAUACUGUCGGGCUAGAGUCCGGAAGAGGCGAGUGGAAUUCCCGGUGUAGCGGUGAAAUGCGCAGAUAUCGGGAGGAACACCAAUGGCGAAGGCAGCUCGCUGGGACGGUACUGACGCUGAGACGCGAAAGCUAGGGGAGCGAACGGG
rnacentral:rRNA from 1 species